rnacentral:rRNA from 1 species
GAGUUUGAUCCUGGCUCAGGAUGAACGCUGGCGGCGUGCCUAACACAUGCAAGUCGAACGGGGAUAUAUUGGAAUGAGGAUUCGUCUGAAGGAAAAUGUAUCUUAGUGGCGGACGGGUGAGUAACGCGUGGGCAACCUACCGUAUACAGGGGGAUAACACUUAGAAAUAGGUGCUAAUACCGCAUAAGCGCACAGCAGUGCAUACUGGAGUGUGAAAAGCCGAGACGGUAUACGAUGGGCCCGCGUCUGAUUAGCCAGUUGGCAGGGUAACGGCCUACCAAAGCGACGAUCAGUAGCCGGCCUGAGAGGGCGGACGGCCACAUUGGGACUGAGACACGGCCCAGACUCCUACGGGAGGCAGCAGUGGGGGAUAUUGCACAAUGGGGGGAACCCUGAUGCAGCGACGCCGCGUGAGUGAAGAAGUAAUUCGUUAUGUAAAGCUCUAUCAGCAGGGAAGAAUAAAUGACGGUACCUGAGUAAGAAGCCCCGGCUAACUACGUGCCAGCAGCCGCGGUAAUACGUAGGGGGCAAGCGUUAUCCGGAUUUACUGGGUGUAAAGGGAGCGUAGACGGCGAUGCAAGCCAGAUGUGAAAGCCCGCGGCUCAACUGCGGUAGUGCAUUUGGAAC